GAUGAACGCUAGCUACAGGCUUAACACAUGCAAGUCGAGGGGCAGCACAGUGUAGCAAUACAUGGGUGGCGACCGGCGCACGGGUGCGUAACGCGUAUCCAACCUUCCCGAUACUCAGGGAUAGCCUUCCGAAAGGGAGAUUAAUACCUGAUGGUGUUCAAAUUCCGCAUGUUAUUUGAACUAAAGAUUUAUCGGUAUCGGAUGGGGAUGCGUGACAUUAGAUUGUAGGCGGGGUAACGGCCCACCUAGUCUACGAUGUCUAGGGGUUCUGAGAGGAAGGUCCCCCACACUGGAACUGAGACACGGUCCAGACUCCUACGGGAGGCAGCAGUGAGGAAUAUUGGUCAAUGGUCGGAAGACUGAACCAGCCAAGUAGCGUGAAGGAUGAAGGUUCUAUGGAUUGUAAACUUCUUUUAUACGGGAAUAAAACCUCCCACGUGUGGGAGCUUGUAUGUACCGUAUGAAUAAGCAUCGGCUAACUCCGUGCCAGCAGCCGCCGUAAGAC
rnacentral:rRNA from 1 species